rnacentral:rRNA from 1 species
UACGGGGGGGGCAAGCGUUGUUCGGAAUUACUGGGCGUAAAGGGCUCGUAGGCGGCCAACUAAGUCGGACGUGAAAUCCCCAGGCUCAACCUGGGAACUGCGUCCGAUACUGGAUGGCUUGAAUUCGGGAGAGGGAUGCAGAAUUCCAGGUGUAGCGGUGAAAUGCGUAGAUAUCUGGAGGAAUACCGGUGGCGAAGGCGGCAUCCUGGACCGAUAUUGACGCUGAGGAGCGAAAGCUAGGGGAGCAAACGGG